UGUUGUCAAGGUUCUCGGCAGAACAGGUUCCCAGGGACAGUGUACCCAGGUGAAAGUUGAGUUCAUUGCUGAGCAGAACCGACAGAUCAUCAGG